UUCCUGAUAGCUCAAAGGUAGAGCGCAUGGCUGUUAACCAUUAGGUUGUAGGUUCGAAUCCUGCUCAGGAAG
rnacentral:tRNA from 1 species